CUGAAAAUAGUUAAAGGAAAGGGGAUUUAGGGUUCAGUAGUGACUAUCCCGAUCCCUUCCUCAUACCUCCUUCUCCCUUAACCUCGCGACGGCGGCCAUUAAUCCUCCGAUCGACCCUCUCGCCGCCGUGAUAACCCUACCACCCCAAACUUAUGCUCACCUCUUCCAUCUCGCAACUCAGCGAUUAGCUUAAAUCCCAAAUUACCACAUCUAAUCCACAACGUUCUAAAAUCAUUCAAAAUCAAAACUAAAUGAAGAGAAACCUGGAAUUUCAGCGAGAGAAGGAUCAAAUGAAUUCCGGAGGAGCUUCCAAUCGUAGUUGGCGCAAGAUGGAAAUCGAAGUUCUCACGGAGUAGAAACCUUCAAUCGGAGUCGACGCGGAGACGAAGGAGCCGCUGAUGAUUCAGGGCUGAUUUGAUGGUGUUAAUGAUGGCGGAUUCUCGAUCUUGGAUGUGCUGCGAUAUCUUGAGUAAGUGAAAGAUUUGGUUCAUGCGAGCUUCCACGAGAUGAACGAAAGUUGCCUCUGAUUGGAAUGCAGUACAGGAGCUAGAUGUCGGUUAUGUUAAGCUUGAUGUUCAACCCCCUUUUUGGAUAGUCUUGGUGCUGAUUUUGAAUUAAAUAGGGCUGCAAUGAUUAGGAAGAUGGCUUGGAUUACUCGAGUUUUUAUUGAAUGGUUGGUAUUUGAACAUGGUUUGGCCAGGAGCUAAAAGGUGAAGGAAUACAAGAAAUGGAAGCAGCAGCAUGAGGGAUGAAUUGAAGGAAUGGGGAGGAAUUAGUUUUUUUUGUGUAAAUUUGUGAAUUUAUGGGUUGUAAUGUGAGGACAUGUACUCGGAUACGACUUGUAUUUUGGUAUGGCAUUCUGUAAUAAACAAGGCUUUGAAUUGAAAUGGCUUGAAAUGUAGUGGUUUUAUGACUUUGGCUUGUAAUAUAUAUUUGAAGUGUGUGGAUUUGGAUUUGGAUGAGUACUUGAAUGAUGGUUCUUGUCUUAUAUUCAAAUAAAAUUUGAAUUUUCCAUCAUUUGUUAUUUUGAGUUUAAAUCUCGAACUCGAACCGAUCUACCAAACCUUCAACAAAUUUAAUCCAUCCUUUUUGUGCACCAAUUUGAACGAAGCCGCUUGAUUACCUUAAUGAUCUCCACAAUAGCCCAUAUCCUUCACUGAGAAUUCCAAGCAGACAUUAAUUGACCUAUACAAUUCGCCCCACAAGUGGACACUAACAGAGCCCUGAUUUAUGAAGAUAAUGAGAUCUUGUCCAAUAGCAUCCAACAGAGGAGUAGAAAAACCCAACUUCUUGUAUUAUAGAUAGCAAUAGAGAACUGUUACUCAACAAGACCCUUGAUCCUACUACCUUGGAUGUUUGUUUUGAUGGAUGCAAUUAUAAGGAAGUAAAUUCUGAUUCUUGAUCCUUAAUUCAGUGAUCCUUGGUCCCGAUGCCAAUUAGUGAUUAAUGAUGCAUGAUGUGUUAAAUGA